AAUGCAAUCUUGGCAAUGUCAUUUUUACCCUGCCACUUUCACAGCCACUACCAACCACCGUCAAACCAAACACCAACUGUAUAUAUUAACCGAAAUUCAAAUCCCAAAUCCCCCUCAAAACCCUAAACCCUAACCCUAAUUCCCAAAUCCACAAUUCACUUCCAAUGGACUCCAUUACCGUCCUAAUGACCAGCCCAAUGUCCGAUUACCUCGAAACACAACUCAGAGACCGGUUCAACCUCGUCAAGCUCUGGACCUAUUCCUCAAAAACCGAUUUUUUCAAGCACAAUUCCCAUUCAAUCCGAGCAGUAGUCGGAAACACCAAAAUUGGCGCCGACGCCGAACUCAUCGACUCGUUGCCAGAGCUGGAGAUUGUCUCGAGUUACAGUGUUGGGUUGGACAAGAUUGAUCUGAGGAAAUGUCAGGAAAAGGGGAUUAGGGUCACAAACACGCCGGAUGUGUUGACGGAUGAUGUUGCAGACGUGGCGAUGGGGUUGAUGUUGGCGGUUACGAGGAGGGUUUGCGAGUGUGACCGGUUUGUGAGACGUGGGUUGUGGCCGAAAGGCAAUUUCAGAUUGACUAAUAAGUUCAGUGGUAUGCAAGUUGGAAUUGUUGGGUUGGACAGGAUUGGUUCAGCAAUUGCAAAGAGAGCUGAAGCAUUUGGAUGCCCUAUCAGUUACUAUUCUAGAUCUGAGAAACCAGAAACAAAUUACAAGUACUUUUCGAACAUUAUUGACUUGGCUGUCAAUUGUCAAAUUCUUGUUGUUGCGUGUGCUUUGACAAAAGAAACCCACCAUAUUAUCAAUCGUGAAGUCAUUGAUGCAUUGGGUCCAGAGGGCAUUCUCAUCAACAUUGGACGAGGCUCACAUAUUGACGAACCUGAACUUGUGUCUGCACUCCUUGAAGGCCGUUUGGGCGGGGCUGGGCUCGAUGUCUUUGAAAACGAGCCAGAGGUUCCUGAACAACUGUUUGGGCUUGAAAAUGUAGUUCUCAUGCCUCAUGUGGGGAGUGACACUGUGGAAACCGCUGAUGCAAUGGCAGACCUUGUCAUAAAGAACUUGGAGGCACACUUUUUAAAAAAGCCACUCUUAACUCCGGUAGUUUGAUAUUAUUAAGAAGGGUCUUCAAUGGACAGAAUUUUGAGCACCUUGAGGCCAUCAAGUUUGUCACCUAUGCUGUCUUUCAAAACUUCAAUGUGUUCAUCACAUUUAGGGAAAAGUAAAUACAAGGAAAGAUUGUUUUGGCUUACAACGUGGGGUUCGACAAGAUUGAUUUGGUGAAAUGUAAAGAAUAGGGAAUUCAUGUUACAAAUACACCCAAUGUGUUAACAGAUGAUGUUGCAGACAUGGCAAUAGGGUUGACAUUGCGGUGUUGAGGAUUUUUGUGGCUGGUUGUUUUGUGAGGACUGGGGCAUGGUAGAAAGGGGAUUUCAAAUUGACAACAAAGUUCGGCGUCAAUCAGUUGGAAUUGUUAGGUUGUGCUGGAUUGGUUUAGCAAUUGCGAAGAGAGCUGAAGCAUUUGGUUGCCCCAUCAGUUACUGCUCUAGAGCUGAAAAACAAUAUCCAAAUUGCAAAUACCAUUCCACUAUUGUUGACUUUGCCUCAAAUUGUCAAAUUCUCAUUUUGGCAUGCAAUCUCUCAGAUGAAACCUGCCACAUUGUUAAGUGUUAACUGUGAAGACAUUGAUGCAUUGGGGGGCCAAACGACAUUAUCAUCAACAUUGGACAAGGUCCACUCAUUGAUGAAACCCAACUUGCUUCUGCAUUGUUUGAAGGCUGGCUGGGUGGGGCAGGACUUGGCCCAGUUCAUCCUGCUUCCAAUGAGGAGAAAAGUAAAUCCAAUCUGAGAUUGAAGACUUGAGCCCAUGGGAAUUAUUAAGCUUUGCCCAGGCUGCAAGACCAUGGGC